rnacentral:rRNA from 1 species
AAGGAAUUUAUCUGAAAUUAAUAGGUAGAAUUUUAAUUUUUGACAAAGACAUAAACAAGAAACAUACUAAUUAUAUAAUGGACCAGGAUUAGAUACCCUGUUACUUAUAAAUAAUAAAUUUUGGAAUAGUAAAAAUUAUGAAAUUUAACGGAUUUGGCGGCAAGAUAGCCAUUUAGAGGAACCUGCCCUGUGAACGAUGAACCACGAAAAACUUUACUUUUAUUUGUAAUCAGUUUGUAUACCGCUGUUGUCAGUCAGUUUCUUUAGAAAACUUUCUUAUAUAAAAAAAUUAUUUACUUCAAGUAAAGGUGCAGCUUAUAUAAAAGUUAGAGGUGGGUUACAAUUAUAGGACUAAAACGGAUUAAGUUUCUGAAAUAACUUUUGAAGGUGGAUUUAAUUGUAAGGUUUAAUAAAACUUGAUGUGAGCUCUAUCUUGUGUACACACCGCCCGUCGCUCUCUUUCUUAAAC